GACGAACGCUGGCGGCAUGCCUAAUACAUGCAAGUCGAGCGGAGUUGACGAGAAGCUUGCUUCUCUGAUACUUAGCGGCGGACGGGUGAGUAACACGUAGGCAACCUGCCUUUCAGUUUGGGAUAACUUCCGGAAACGGAUGCUAAUACCGAAUACAUCAUCUUCUGGCAUCAGAGAAUGAGGAAAGACGGCGCAAGCUGUCACUGAGAGAUGGGCCUGCGGCGCAUUAGCUAGUUGGUGGGGUAAUGGCUCACCAAGGCGACGAUGCGUAGCCGAGCUGAGAGGGUGAACGGCCACCCUGGGACUGAGACACGGCCCAGACUCCUACGGGAGGCAGCAGUAGGGAAUCUUCCACAGUGGGCGAAAGCCUGAUGGAGCAAUGCCGCGUGAGUGAUGAAGGUUUUCGGAUCGUAAAGCUCUGUUGCCAGGGAAGAACGUCCGGGUGAGUAACUGCACCCGGAGUGACGGUACCUGAGAAGAAAGCCCCGGCUAACUACGUGCCAGCCGCCGCAGUAA
rnacentral:rRNA from 1 species